AGCGAACGCUGGCGGCAGGCCUAACACAUGCAAGUCGAGCGGCCGUAGCAAUACGGCAGCGGCAGACGGGAGAGUAACACGUGGGAACGUACCCUUCAGUUCGGAACAACCCAGGGAAACUUGGGCUAAUACCGAAUACGUCCGUAAGGAGAAAGAUUUAUCGCUGAAGGAUCGGCCCGCGUCUGAUUAGCUAGUUGGUGAGGUAACGGCUCACCAAGGCGACGAUCAGUAGCUGGUCUGAGAGGAUGAUCAGCCUCACUGGGACUGAGACACGGCCCAGACUCCUACGGGAGGCAGCAGUGGGGAAUAUUGGACAAUGGGCGCAAGCCUGAUCCAGCCAUGCCGCGUGGAUGAUGAAGGCCUUAGGGUUGUAAAGUCCUUUUAACGGGGAAGAUAAUGACGGUACCCGUAGAAUAAGCCCCGGCUAACUUCGUGCCAGCCGCCGCCGUAA
rnacentral:rRNA from 1 species